UUUAUUGGAGAGUUUGAUCCUGGCUCAGGACGAACGCUGGCGGCAUGCCUAAUACAUGCAAGUCGAGCGGACUUGAAGAGAAGC
rnacentral:rRNA from 1 species